UCGUCGAAGACAGAAGUGCGUAGCGUGUUGUGGUCUUUGCUAAUAAAAAUAGUGAACAUGUAUUCCUAGUUCGGGGACAGCGAGCGAGUGGUUUCGUUGAAAGAAAUUUAAAAGUGCUGAAACAAAAGAUUGGUUGAGUUACGGGAAUAUAUAUUCAUUUUGCACUUACGAUGAUGACACGGUCGAGAUUUAUGAAGUCGUAGCAGCUACUGCAGGAAACGAAAUUCAUCGCUAACCUUCAACGUCACCUCGUUUCCAAACCAGCAAUAUAGAUACACCUGCAUGAGCAUAGAGCCCAGCACAGCACGAUCGAGCUUAUGUAGAACUGGAGGAAAAUCAUGUACUGAAAUAUCUUGUUGACAACUCUUGCGAGUUUGUAAUCAAUGCAUAAUGAUAUCAGCAAUUAUGCUCGGACAAGACUGAAUCUUAACGAUUAGGUGAUACCGGACCAAGUCCCCAAGAAUUCUCAUUCUUCUGUUCCUCAAGUCUUGCAUGGACGUGCAGAUCCUCUCCGCCUCUAGAAGAGCAGAGGGCAAAUUUCGCGCUCGAUGACAGAAAAUUUCAAACUGUGAGCAAACUUGAAUCAUCAGUCCAGAGAUCAGCGUCUCGUUGGCCACGCUGGUGUUCGCGCAGACCAUCAGAGUCAACGGAUGCGAACACUGCGGCUAACUCGUUCAGGAUCUCGCACCAUACCGUCAGGUUUCUGCGAAGGACCAAG